rnacentral:rRNA from 1 species
GGGGAAUAUUGCACAAUGGGCGAAAGCCUGAUGCAGCAACGCCGCGUGAGUGAAGAAGGUUUUCGGAUUGUAAAGCUCUGUCAUCUGGGACGAUAAUGACGGUACCUAACGAGAAAGCCACGGCUAACUACGUGCCAGCAGCCGCGGUAAUACGUAGGUGGCAAGCGUUGUCCGGAAUUACUGGGCGUAAAGGGUGCGCAGGCGGACAUUUAAGUGAGAUGUGAAAGACCCGGGCUUAACUUGGGAAGUGCAUUUCAAACUGGAUGGCUGGAGUGCAGGAGAGGAGAACGGAAUUCCUAGUGUAGCGGUGAAAUGCGUAGAGAUUAGGAAGAACACCAGUGGCGAAGGCGGUUCUCUGGACUGUAACUGACGCUGAGGCACGAAAGCGUGGGGAGCAAAC